UCUGGCCACAUCCACCGUGGCUCUUAUAAGACUAACUUUCACGAUACGAAACCAAAUUCUGUUUGGUUUGCAAGAGAUGGAUUGGAGAGUGGCCUGAGGCAGGUAGACUCAGGUAGGCCAAGUCCUUCUACAGCAGUGCCAAGAUGAGCCAUACCAGACUCUUUGAGGACAGAGAUGGCAGGAGAAACAAAUGGCACUUCCCUUGUCAUCCCUUUGCUGAGGUAGCAGUGCUGUGAAGAGCAGUGUUUGGUAAAAUAAACACUUGAUAUGUUCCUCAUUGUCUUAGGAAUUACAGCGGAGAUAUUGCACUGAGCAUCGAUUUGGAUGGCACCAGACCUCAACUGGACAGCUUCAAACAUUACACUAAGCAGCUCUGCCCUCCUCCUGUAUGUUUGUUGGGUCACACCAUCUGUGGC
ensembl:lncRNA